rnacentral:rRNA from 1 species
AACCUAACCCGGAAAGGGUAGCUAACUACCGCAUACCGACCUGGAGGGUAGAAAGGCGGGGACCGAAAGGCCUCGCGCGAUGGGAGCGGCCGAUGCCGGAUUAGCUAGUUGGUAGGGUAAAGGCCUACCAAGGCGACGAUCCGUAGCUGGUCUGAGAGGACGACCAGCCACACUGGAACUGAGACACGGUCCAGACUCCUACGGGAGGCAGCAGUGGGGAAUUUUGGACAAUGGGCGAAAGCCUGAUCCAGCCAUUCCGCGUGAGUGAAGAAGGCCUUCGGGUUGUAAAGCUCUUUCGGCAGGAACGAAACGGUGAAGGCUAAUAACCUUUACUAAUGACGGUACCUGAAGAAGAAGCACCGGCUAACUACGUG